rnacentral:lncRNA from 1 species
UUUUUAAAACAAAGAUGAGUAUUUAUUAAAGACAGUUAUUUUCACUCACCAGCUUUUGGGGGAAUUGCACUCAUUCCUUUAGAAAUUUGCUAAGUUUCCCAGGCAAAGAGGGUGUGUCCUUGCCAAGAAGACACGGAACGCUCUUUAGCCCUGGUGGUUGCUCCCUAUUGUCUCAGACAAAGUACGGUUUCAUGUUGUAACCAUUAUUUCAUGUACCUUACAGCCAAUAAAAUAAUCACAGAGAUGAUUUGGUCUCAGUGCUUAAGUCAUAAAGCCUCUCUGCCAUCAGAGAUGGAGGUUUAAUUGUGAGUGACGUUGGAUGAGAACCUGGUUCUGGGCUGUAUCGGAGUUAUCCAGCUGUUCUUUCAUCACACAUCCAGAAAGCCAGUCAUACUUUUCUCCAGCUCAUCUGUGCAUUCUUGAUCCUGCCUCUAACAUUUUAUUUCGAAUUCCCCUGAUAGCCUCAGUGAAAGUUCCCAGCAGAGAUUGAUUGCAGGGCAUGACCCAAAUUUGUAACUGGCCACAAAACGCUGUAAAACAAAGUUCACCGAAUACCUUCCAGCUGAUUGUAAGUGAUUUUUGAAAAUGAUCUGGUUGUGUUUUUCUUCUUUUUUCCACAUAAAAUGUCUGAAAAGAGGGACUUUUUGCCAAGCUCUGAUUUUUGUAACAUCAUCUAUAAAGCCUGACAAUACGGACCGCAUGGAACUAACUGCAGGUGGUGGCAGCAGCCCGGCCUCGCUAGUGGAGUUUUGUUUGAUGGGACAUGACUAUUUAACAGAAUGAGAGCAGAGGGUAGGUGUCCUGGUAAGGGAGGAUGAAGAUCUGGGUAACAGCAACUCUUGGGAAAUUCCUUAGUGUUCCUAGUGGGUCUUUUCUUCAUUUGUAAAAUGAAGAAGAGCAUUAGUCAAGCUCUGUCUUUGCAGAACCCCAAAUCUUUCCAUGGAAUGAAAUGCAUCAGAAAGUAUUUGCUGUAGACUCAGGCAUGUCUGGGCCUGCUGGGAGGCCAGUGGAUUGUUCCCUCUCAGUGGAUUGUUCUAUCUCCGU